rnacentral:rRNA from 1 species
UGCAGCAACGCCGCGUGAGGGACGAAGGCCUAAGGGUUGUAAACCUCUUUUAGUAGGGAAGAAGCGAAAGUGACGGUACCUGCAGAAAAAGCACCGGCUAACUACGUGCCAGCAGCCGCGGUAAUACGUAGGGUGCAAGCGUUGUCCGGAAUUAUUGGGCGUAAAGAGCUCGUAGGCGGUUUGUCGCGUCUGCUGUGAAAUCUGGAGGCUCAACCUCCAGCCUGCAGUGGGUACGGGCAGACUAGAGUGCGGUAGGGGAGAUUGGAAUUCCUGGUGUAGCGGUGGAAUGCGCAGAUAUCAGGAGGAACACCGAUGGCGAAGGCAGAUCUCUGGGCCGUAACUGACGCUGAGGAGCGAAAGCAUGGGGAGCGAACAGGAUUAGAUACCCUGGUAGUCCAUGCCGUAAACGUUGGGAACUAGAUGUAGGGGCCAUUCCACGGUUUCUGUGUCGCAGCUAACGCAUUAAGUUCCCCGCCUGGGGAGUACGGCCGCAAGGCUAAAACUCAAAGGAAUUGACGGGGGCCCGCACAAGCGGCGGAGCAUGCGGAUUAAUUCGAUGCAACGCGAAGAACCUUACCAAGGCUUGACAUAUACAGGAAACGGCUAGAGAUAGUCGCCCCGCAAGGUCUGU